rnacentral:rRNA from 1 species
UACGAGAGGCCCAAACGUUAUUCGGAAUUACUGGGCUUAAAGAGUCCGUAGGCGGCGCGGAAAGUGGGGUGUGAAAGCCCUCGGCUCAACCGAGGAAUUGCGCUCCAAACUACCGUGCUUGAGGAACCUAGAGGUGAGCAGAACUGAUGGUGGAGCGGUGAAAUGCGUAGAGAUCGGGAGGAACACCCGUGGCGAAGGCGGCCAUCUGGACCAGCACUGACGCUGAGGCACGAAAGCGUGGGGAGCAAACAGG